rnacentral:lncRNA from 1 species
GCACACUAUGCCAGUAUAACAGCAAAACAUAACCUCAACCCAUCUGAACCCUCUAGUUCAAACACCAUUUACUUGCACCAUUACGAAGGUGAUUGGUGGUUAUUACAAGCUAAUCUCAGUGAGAACAUCCAGAUGCUCUUUUUGUCAAGGUCAGGAUCAGAGCUGGACAGGGAGGAAGAGGAGGAGGAGGAGGGGGGUUUGAUUUUGUACCCAUCAGGCACUUGGAGCCCCUGCAAUGACGCGGCACCUGCAGCCGGGAAAGACAUAAAAUGGAGUCCCAGCUGGCCUCACAUCAGUGUGAGUCAAAAGGCCGGGGGAGGAGGAGGAGAAGGAGAGCGUGCUUCAGGCUCGAUUAGGCCUACAUCCUAUCUCCAUCUUCAGCUCUGAGCACCAUCACCAUGAGUCAUUAACACCAAAUUCACAGCUGUCACUCUGGAGUAUUUGCAGGUGGAGGCAGCGUUUUGUCGCCUGCUUUGGGGAACAACAGGGGUGGUGUGCAAAAAUGAAAUAGCUGUCUACCUCGAGAACAUCCUGUGCCUCACUCUGUGUCCUUUUUCAUUUCAGGAUAAGCAGAAAAAGCUGCCUCCACAUCACGUGUGGGUGACAAGGAGAGUGGAACUGACAUUUGCGUGCCUCAGGAGGUGGGAAGAGAUGAGGGCUGGCAGAGAGAGACACCCACCCUUUUCCACCUCAUGCUGCCAAGCAGACCAGCGUGCACCUGUCCCCUCCGGCUGAGAGGAACUGUAGGUCACUCGCUAUUGCCUCUUCCGGCCAAGAAAUGUACUUGCACUCUCAAAAACUCUACAGGCUUUUUUGGUGAUGUAGCAGUAAGCAGAGAAUGACUGAAUGAGUUCAUAACAGAAAACAGAGGUCUAGAAAGAAGGGACAGAAGGACUGGGAUGAGAGAGUGAAAGAUAAGCAGAUAGCCCGGGUGUGAAAAUGGGAGUGACAGUGACGGAGUCCCGUGCAAAGAUAAACAGCCCGGGUGCAGCCCUUGUAAUGGCUUUGAACGAGUAAUUUGUCACUCCAUGUGAAACACAAACAGCAGGGUGACACUUACCAUCGCCCAAGGGUGUCUCACCAAGACUUUCCAUCUGUCUGAACAACUGGUGAUGUCCAUUCCUCUGGUCAAGAGACAAUGAGAAAAUCUGCCUGAAACAAGGCAAGAUUUAAAGCUAUGUACAGUUGAGCUGCACUGCAUCAAAGUUAUGUAAUUGGGUGUUAAGCAGUGCUGAUAUUCCCUACAGGGGGGCUUAAAU